UACGGGAGGUGCGAGCGUUGUCCGGAAUCACUGGGCGUAAAGGGCGCGUAGGCGGCCUGAUAAGUAGGGGGUGAAAUCCUGCGGCUUAACCGCAGGGCUGCCUUCUAAACUGUCAGGCUCGAGCACAGUAGAGGCAGGUGGAAUUCCCGGUGUAGCGGUGGAAUGCGUAGAGAUCGGGAAGAACAUCAGUGGCGAAGGCGGCCUGCUGGGCUGUUGCUGACGCUGAGGCGCGACAGCGUGGGGAGCAAACAGG
rnacentral:rRNA from 1 species